AUUUUUUUUUUUUUCACUAAAACGGUAAAACCCGAUAAUACAUAAAACCCUAAUACAAAAAAAAUUUCUCCUCUCUUAAACCCGAUUCUUUGCCCAUCUUCACUAUCAAUUUCCUCUUCACAAGCCAGAACCACCAUCAGUCUUUAUCUCUCACCUUUCUCUGAAUCUAAACCCGAUUCUUUGCCCAUCUUCACUAUCAAUUUUCUCUCCACAACCCAGAACCACCAUCGGUCUUUAUCUCUCGCCUUUCUCUGAAUCUAACAACCUUUCUCUGAAUCUAAACCCGAUUCUUUGCCCAUCUUCACUAUCAAUUUUCUCUCCACAACCCAGAACCACCAUCGGUCUUUAUCUCUCGCCUUUCUCUGAAUCUAACAACAAUAAAGAAGCGGGCUUAAUCUAAACCGGGGUUGUUGACAUCGCUACCGUUGAAGGCGAAAGUGGCCUCCACGAUCGCCUCCUAGCCCGUCCAUUAGUCCGACCCAGCCGACUGAGCCGUCCUUCAGAAAACCCGAUUGUUGCUUUGUGGUGUGCUUCUUUUCCUCUUUCUCUUUCCUCUUAAUUGAUUUUUUGUUUUUUGCAGAGUUUCUACGUCUUCUUCUUCCUUUGUAUUCAGAGUUAUACCAAAGAAGAAUCAUUAAAAUUCUGGGAGGCAUUACUCAUCAAGAUUCUGCAGGCCAUAAGGAUACAAUUGGACCUUGUGAUGUGCAGAAGAGAUUGUUGGCCAACAAAUGAGGAAGAGCAAGGCAAAGGGAAGAUGGGGCAUUGCAAAGCCAAUACUCACUUUGAUUGAGAGAUUAUUUGGGCUGGGUCAAAGUGGAGAGUGAGGGACGGUAGGGCUUGAUUUGAUUGGGAACAGAUUCUUUCUAUGCAGGUAAAUGAGCUUAUUGAUGAGUCGACUAAAUAGUGGGAUCGUGGAAAUUUUUUUUCACUGUUUACUCAUAGGACCUGUGUAGUGAUACUUGCCAUUCCUUUGAACAAUACCUACUCUCAGGAUCAGUGGGUAUGGAAGGAGAAUUGGUCACAAAAUUUCUCCGUAAAAUCUGCAUACCAGGUUGCACGUCGCUUGCGGCAGCCGAGGAACAAGUAACAUUCUUCUGCUAGAGGAGAUUUGUUACUAUGGAGGAAAUUAUGGGCCCUUAAUGUGCCACCAAAUAAAGUCAAAUAAAACAGACAUAAACAAAAGAUGUGCCACCAAAUGCUAUGGACGAAAAUAAAGACAUAAACAAAAUGUAAGGAAAAUAUUGUAUUUGUGCCACCUGGACACCUAAAACAUAAAAGUCUGUUUAAAGACAUAAAAGUCACAAAUCUGUCUGUUUAAAGACCAAAUCCGAGAAGCCCCAACACCUUGACCAAUCAAAUAAAGUCUUUCUUUGAUUGGAAAGUUGUGUUAAUGAAGUUCCUUAUCAGUUUUUAUUGUAUUUGGUCUAUGUUUGUUUUUUAAUAUAUUUUGCUAAUAAAGUUUUAAAUUUUUUUUCA